CCCUUAGAUGUCCUGGGCCGCACGCGCGCUACACUGAUGAAUUCAACGAGCACUAACCUGUGCAGAAAUGUUCGGGUAAUCUUGUGAAAUUUCAUCGUGAUGGGGAUUGAUUAUUGCAAUUAUUAAUCAUAAACGAGGAAUGCCUAGUAAGCGUGAGUCAUCAGCUCACGCUGAUUACGUUCCUGCCCUUUGUACACACCGCCCGUCGCUCCUACCGAUUGGGUGAGCCGAUGAAACUCUCGGAUGUAGGCUAUUCAUAGCCCGCAGAAGAGAUUUGAAUCGUAGCGCUUAGAGGAAGGAGAAGUCGUAACA
rnacentral:rRNA from 1 species